AUUGAACGCUGGCGGCAGGCCUAACACAUGCAAGUCGAGCGGAUGAAGGGAGCUUGCUCCUGGCUUCAGCGGCGGACGGGUGAGUAAUGCCUAGGAAUCUGCCUGGUAGUGGGGGAUAACGUCCGGAAACGGGCGCUAAUACCGCAUACGUCCUGAGGGAGAAAGUGGGGGAUCUUCGGACCUCACGCUAUCAGAUGAGCCUAGGUCGGAUUAGCUAGUUGGUGGGGUAAAGGCCUACCAAGGCGACGAUCCGUAACUGGUCUGAGAGGAUGAUCAGUCACACUGGAACUGAGACACGGUCCAGACUCCUACGGGAGGCAGCAGUGGGGAAUAUUGGGCAAUGGGCGAAAGCCUGAUCCAGCCAUGCCGCGUGUGUGAAGAAGGUCUUCGGAUUGUAAAGCACUUUAAGUUGGGAGGAAGGGCAGUAAGUUAAUACCUUGCUGUUUUGACGUUACCAACAGAAUAAGCACCGGCUAACUUCGUG
rnacentral:rRNA from 1 species